rnacentral:misc_RNA from 1 species
GGGAGAAAAAAAAUGGCAGACAGAACAGGAAAGCUGUAAAGGGCUGUAAUGUAAUAAUAUAUCGGUUAAAACUACAAAUCCAACAAAGUGCACCGACUCCCAAACAAGAACGAUAAAUUCACAUGCCCACAACCAUCAAAUUACAGGGAUGAACAGCAAUAAUAUAGUAUAUCUAAUGAUUUAACCAGGGAUUCUAAAUAUUCCCAUGUAGGUUUUGU